GGCGUGCCUAAUACAUGCAAGUCGAGCGAAUGGAUUGAGAGCUUGCUCUGAAGAAGUUAGCGGCGGACGGGUGAGUAACACGUGGGUAACCUGCCCAUAAGACUGGGAUAACUCCGGGAAACCGGGGCUAAUACCGGAUAACAUUUUGAACUGCAUGGUUCGAAAUUGAAAGGCGGCUUCGGCUGUCACUUAUGGAUGGACCCGCGUCGCAUUAGCUAGUUGGUGAGGUAACGGCUCACCAAGGCAACGAUGCGUAGCCGACCUGAGAGGGUGAUCGGCCACACUGGGACUGAGACACGGCCCAGACUCCUACGGGAGGCAGCAGUAGGGAAUCUUCCGCAAUGGACGAAAGUCUGACGGAGCAACGCCGCGUGAGUGAUGAAGGCUUUCGGGUCGUAAAACUCUGUUGUUAGGGAAGAACAAGUGCUAGUUGAAUAAGCUGGCACCUUGACGGUACCUAACCAGAAAGCCACGGCUAACUACGUGCCAGCAGCCGCGGUAAUACGUAAGUGGCCAGCGUUAUCCGGAAUUAUUGGGCGUAAAGCGCGCGCAGGUGGUUUCUUAAGUCUGAUGUGAAACCCCACGGCUCAACCGUGGAGGGUCAUUG
rnacentral:rRNA from 1 species